GGAAUAUGGCCUAGUGGUAGAGUGCUUGCCUAGCAUGCAAGAAGCCCUGGGUUCGAUUCCUCAGUACCA
rfam:Dipodomys ordii ctg_broad_rename0004467, whole genome shotgun sequence.